rnacentral:lncRNA from 10 species
CAGUAUUUGAAACUACUAUGGGCAAAAGGUUUGUUUUUUUCUCUCCCUCCAAUAGUCCUAAAAUUGUAUUUUGAAACUUAAUGGCCAAUGGGAUGGUAUUCAAAGGUGGGGCCUUUAAGAGGUGAUUAGGUCCUGAGGGUUCCUCCCCUCAUGAAUUAAGGGAUUAAGGUGCUUGCUAAAGAGGCUUCAUGCAGCGUUAAGCCCUUUUGUUCUUGCCCUUACUCCUGCCAUGUGAGGACAGUGUUCCUCCCCUCCAGAGAAAGCAUCUUGGAAGUGGAGAGCCAUCCUCAUCAGAUAAUUGAACCUACUGGUGCCUUGAUCUUACACUUCUCAGUCUCCAGAACUGUGAGAACAUACAUUUCUAUUCUUUAUAAAUUGCCCAGUUUCAGGCAUUCCAUUAUAGCAGCACAGGUGGAUAAAAACAGAGACAUUUCGGCAGAUCCUUAUGAAACUAGGGUUACCAGCCCCUGUAUUCUACCCAGUUGUC